UGGCAGAGUACGAGGCGAAAGA
rnacentral:miRNA from 12 species